AUUGAACGCUGGCGGUAUGCUUAACACAUGCAAGUCGAACGGUAACAGGAGCUAGCUUGCUAGCUUGCUGACGAGUGGCGGACGGGUGAGUAACGCGUAGGAAUUUGCCUUAAGGCGGGGGAUAACUCGGGGAAACCCGAGCUAAUACAGCAUAUGCUCUACGGAGUAAAGGAUGGGAUGUGCGGACCCUUCACCUUAAGAGCAGCCUGCGUAGGAUUAGCUAGUUGGUGAGGUAAAGGCUCACCAAGGCGACGAUCUUUAGCUGGUCUGAGAGGACGAACAGCCACACUGGGACUGAGACACGGCCCAGACUCCUACGGGAGGCAGCAGUGGGGAAUAUUGGACAAUGGGGGGAACCCUGAUCCAGCCAUGCCGCGUGUGUGAAGAAGGCCUUAUGGUUGUAAAGCACUUUAAGCGAGGAGGAGGCUCUUUUGGUUAAUACCCAAGAUGAGUGGACGUUACUCGCAGAAUAAGCACCGGCUAACUCUGUGCCAGCCGCCGCAGUAA
rnacentral:rRNA from 1 species